rnacentral:rRNA from 1 species
UACAGAGGGGGCAAGCGUUGUUCGGAAUUACUGGGCGUAAAGCGCACGUAGGCGGCUUUGUAAGUAAGAGGUGAAAGCCCAGAGCUCAACUCUGGAAUUGCCUUUUAGACUGCAUCGCUUGAAUCAUGGAGAGGUCAGUGGAAUUCCGAGUGUAGAGGUGAAAUUCGUAGAUAUUCGGAAGAACACCAGUGGCGAAGGCGGCUGACUGGACAUGUAUUGACGCUGAGGUGCGAAAGCGUGGGGAGCAAACAGG